GUUUGUAAAAACAAGAAAAAACCCUUAAAGGGGAUAGCGCGAACGCAGUCCCCCACUACCAAAAAUUACACGUUCCAUCUGCCCCAGUUUGGGGUAGUGGCAGGGGUCAACUCAAUCAGAGUGCAAUGAAUGAGCCUUUCCCUGGGGAAGCCACCUUCUUGAUCAUGGCAUUCCCAACGCCAAAAUGAUCCUACAAGAAACACUUGAUUGCUGGUUUUUACGUGAGUGCCAAGUUUAACUAGAUUAUGAGACAUGUAAAUGUCUUCCACAUGUGCAGUACGGGAAGUAUGGCAUUACCUUGGCACCCAAAUGAUGCUGACUCAGUGGGGGUUCGCCAGGUGAGUAGAAGGAUGUGCCUAAGGAUUACAUAACUAUUACGUGAUAUUCAAAUUAUUCCGACACCUGAAGGUUACUAGAAACAUGGUAUGAUGAGCGUGAAAAUAGUUUGCGAGAAAGCCACCAGAGAGUGAUUUAAAUCAACGUGUCUCAACAUGUCAUUAACUUCAUGGUGACAAUCAGUCUUAAAAUUAAUAAUUUAGCUAAUUUGCAUAAUGUUGUGUUUACACUUACCAAAUUUCAAGACAGACUAAAAGCUGGAUAAACUUUAUUUUUAGAAAAUACAAUAGUCAUUGACAGAAGAGGUCGUCACGUGCUCAAACAAACAGUCUCCUCUUAAAAUUGGCAGAAUAAAUGGUCAAUAGCACUGCAGGUAAAGAUCUGAAGUUUAUAAAUUUGUAACACAGAGAUGUGCCCUUUUUUGGUAAAAUAUGUUAAUCUAAUUUGAAAUUAUGUGUAUGAGACUAAAGUCGUGCCACUUUA
rnacentral:misc_RNA from 1 species